UGCGGAAGGGGCGUGUGGGCUGGAGGUCGCUGGCCCUUCUGCGAAUCGGUCGAGCAACGCUGGAGUGGGAAGCUGGGUCAACGGAGACCUAGAUACGGGGUUAGGCCGGGAGCGGUCACAGCUUCAUUCAUUGGGCAGCUACCAGGGCUUGCCACGCGCUGUGAGGCACUGUGUCGAAGCCCCUCCUUUCCUCCCCAGAGCUUAGCUCUGUCCGCUCCACACCAACCUCCAAGCGUAAAUAAAGUUCCCUCCCUUUGGCUCAGCCUUUUAAGGAGCCUUUGUGACCGCGGAGGGUGGUUUGCUCUGACACUAACCAAACUUCACCUUCUGGAGGGCCACUUGCCCAGGUCCCGUUUGUGGCCAUGGUAUGGAUCUUAGCAACGUGUCCACACGAUCAUGUUUUUAUAAAUUUAGCAAAACUGGCGGUAUCAGUAUUUUAAUCCACAUCUGUUAAGACAACUGCCUCUUUCCACUGGGACUUUCCGGUCUGGGAGCAUUGAAGUAGCCAGGGGCAACUUGGGGCGUUUUUAGGUAGGUCUUCUCUUGACUAGGGCUUGAUUGUGUCUAUUUGGGCUGCCUUUGGGUUCUGGGUUGUACAGAGUCCCGAUGAGAGACUCAGUAAAGAUAAAAGGGAAACAGUUGCGUUUCUGAAGUGCCUCCAAAUCUCGGAUGGUGGCAGCCUCCUCCCUCCACCCCUCCCAUCAAUGAAAGAAGGACGGAGUGUGGUGAAAGAGAACCAUCAGAAGAACUGCAGUCAUGGGUCCUCUCUCUGUGUCAGGCAAGGCUUUACUGUGAACCACUAAUGUGCCAGGUACCAUGUGUGGAGGCACUGGCCCAAAGAUGAAGAUGAGGUUUCUCUCCUUGAGAAGCGCAGUGUGGGAGACAGACAGUGUUUAAAUCCUAGAGUUUUGGCUACCCAUUUAAAAGAUAACUUUCCAUACUCACUUGCAUAUGGAUUUGCCCAUGUGACCAAGUUCUGAUCAGCAGGUUGUGAGCAAAGGACAGGCUUCCAUUUCCUCCUAUUUCCUUCUCAUCGGCUGAAAUCUUCUCGCUGGACUGGAGGAGUCAUCCUAGACCUUGAGAUGGAAGCCAUAUGCUGAGGAUGGCAAAGCAGGAAAACAGAAACUAGAUCCCCAUCAUCAUGAAGCAUCCAUUGCAGCCCCAGGCUGUUAAACUCAGACUAUAUGUGACAUGUUGAUAAAUUUCUGGUGCUUCCCUCGUGGCUCAGAUGGUCAAGCAUCUAUCUGCAAUGCUGGAGACCCAGGUUCCAUCCCUGGGUCAGGAAGAUCCCCUGGAGAAGGAAAUGGCAACCCACUCCAGUACUCUUGCGUGGAAAAUCCCAUGGACAGAGGAGCCUGGUAGGCUACAGUCCAUGGGGCCACAAAGAGUCAGACACGACUGGGUGACUUUACUUACUUACUGAUAAAUUUCUAACCUGUUUAAACUAUAUAUAUAUAGUCUUUAUCAUGAAAGUUACACCUGUAUUCUUAUUUACUGUUACAGACUGAAUGUUUGUGUCCCCUCAAAGUUCAUAUGGUGAAAUCCUAACCCCAAUGGUAUUAGAAGGCAGGGCCUUUGAGAGGUGAUUAGGUCAUGAGGGUGGAGCUCCCAUGAAUGGGAUUAGUGUCUUUAUGAAAGAGGCUCCAGAGAGCACUCUUGCCCCUCCUGCCAUGUGAGGACACAGUGAGAACACAUCUGUGAGCCAGGAGGGGGGGCUCUCACCAGACACUGAACCUGCCAGCACUUUGGUCUUGGACUGCCCAACCUCCAGAAUUGUGAGAAAUAAAUGUUUGUUAUUCAGGCCACCAGCCUAUGGGACUUUUGUUAUGGGAGCCUGGAAGGACUAAGACAGUGACACACCACUGAAGUGUUCUCCGUGACAGAAUCAGAUUUCUGUCUUGAAGUGAUCACUCUGGCUGCUGAGUGGAAGGCAAAAGCAGAACUACUGGAGCCCCUGUCAAGGAGAACGGUGUCUUGGACCUGCAAAAUAGCUAUGAAGAUUGUACUGGAGUCUAUUAGAACACCUUUCAGCUGGUGUAGUGGAAAGAGCAUAGACUCUGCUCUCAGGGAUGGUUAGGUUCUGCUCCUGGAGCCACUCCUUUGUCGCUGUGACCUUGGGCAAGUUACUUAGCAUCUCUGAGUCUCAUCUAUAAAUACAAAUUGAGGUUCUCUGUAGGGUAGGAGCUAUAUGGUUAAUUUUAAGGUGGCUUUCAGACUUGAAUUGCAACAUCAGCUCUUCCCUGGGUCGGCAGCCUGCCGUCUUACCCCCCAGAGACUUUGGACUUGCCAGCCUCCAUAAUAAAUCUUUCCUUAAGAUGAAUGUGCCAAUCCUUUAAGAUAAAUCCCCCCUCUGAACUGUCUAUCUACACACCAUAUUAGUUUUGUUUCUCUGAAGAACUCUGACUAAUAAAGGGUAAACUUUCUAUCAAUUUAUAAUAUACAUAAUAGUGAGUGCACAAUUAUGAAGGGCACAGAUCGCUGAUUUUGUACAGAGUGAACACAUUCAACCACCAUCCACAAGAAGAUAUAGAACAUUGGAAUUCCAUGAAGGUAGCUGUGUCAAAGGCAUAGUGUUUCACUCUAAAUCCCUACGUAAAAACAGAUAUAAGAAUCAGCAAAACUACAAUCCCAUGGAUAACAUUUACAACAAAAUUAGAUGGCAAGAUAUCCCCCAUGAAACCCAAAAUAUAAGUGGGUGAGGACAAGGCACCAAGACCCAGAAUUGGCACGUGUGCAGAAGCAAGCAGAGGAAGCAGUGAGCUUUUGAUGAACCUAAGAAUAGGAGGGACAUAAAGAUAACUGAUAGGUGCUGGUGGGUCAAUUUAUAGCAGAAACUGGAAGGGGUUUUACCUAAUCCCUGAGUGGUGCAGCAGCAGCAAGCAGUCUCCAGGAAGGUUUGAUGUAAAUGAGUACUCUAGCCCUAGUGAACUCUCAAGAUGGGCCGGCCAUCAGGGCUCUUUGCCAGGACAGGAGCCCACGCUAAGAAGAAAGUACUUGGAGAAGAAUCAAAACUGGGCAGGAUAGGUACAACAAAGAUAAAGACAAGACAAGGCUCAGACAAGAAUGGGGAGGGGAGCAGAGCCAAGAAACCUUAGAAAGCAUGCUGCCACAUUUUUUAUCACUACAUAAGAAUAGCAGAAAAGGGAACUCUGAACUUAGGAGAUGCACUCUGACCGGAGUCGGAUACAGCUGAGCUCGCACACACACACACAUACACACACACACUGAGCACAUCCUAGUAUAGGCCUUAUGGUGAAUAUAUAUAUAUAUAUUAUAUAUUUCUGUAGGUUGUAAACCUAGGAGUUAAAAUUCUGGGUCACAGGAUAUACAUACGUUCAGCUUUAGUAGGUACUGUAACGUGUUUUCCACAGUGCUUCUAUCAAUUUGGGGGCUUCCCUGGUGGUUCAGUGAUAACCAAUUCACCUGCUAAGCAGGAGACAUGGAUUCAAUCCCUGGGUCGGGAAUAUCCC